rnacentral:tRNA from 1 species
GGUUAUUGCUCAGCGGUAGAGCGUGUGCCUAGCUUGCACGAGGUCUUGGGUUCAAUCCCCAGUGCUGCCA